rnacentral:lncRNA from 1 species
CAGAGUAACAUAUAUCUCUCUUGCCUCAAUAUAUUUCGACCAUAUUUGCACUGUCUGCCAGUAAUAAGUCUGACGAGUUUUUGCAAGACAACCAUUCUAAUACAAAAGCUCAUAGGCCUGCAUCUUUUAAUGAGCUAAUAAAGCACUGAUAUUAAACUGCAUUAGGCUUUCUACCUGUAUAUGAGUGCUCGAUACCCCCUAGCAGUGAGGUUUUUGUGGUACUUAAUCAUGCUUCCAGCAUCAUGAUAAAAUGAGAUUCUGUCUGUGCAUAACUCCCAAGUGCCCGCCAUGCUUUGCUGUUUGUAGUUCAAGGACCAUAUAAGUAAUAAACCAAGAAGAAAUGGGAAGUUGCAAGUAAUUAAUGAUAUUUGCAAAAGCACACCUCUUCUGCAUGAAUCGCUUUCCUGACAUCUUUAUCAUUCAGCCACGUGGUCGCAACUUCAUCAUCCUGGAAAUGUGUAUGUAGUUCAGAAUCCUCAACUAGUUAUCAAGUGAAAUCAGAUAGAGAUACUGGGGAGAAGGUAGGGAGGAAACAAGAAGAUCAACGAGAACACCUAGAUGAGGGUGCCACGUACACCGAUUAAUAGAACAACAAUCAACUGUAGCUGAAGGGACAUCUUACCAAAAGAAGUAAAGAAUAACAAACAUGUUAAUAUACUGAAAAGUUUACAGCAUAUAAACCAUGAAUACAACGCAAGCAAUGUGCAAGGAUGCAGAUUGAUAUAAUGAAAGCAAUAAAAUAAAAUAACAAAAACGACAAAAGGCAAUAGAGUUUUAUGCAGAAAUAGUUUGUAAGUAAGGUCUUUUAGGCAAGGCAAACUUACAGUUCAUGAAGGUGGACAAAAGAAUCAACGAUAAAGAGAUGCAGUGCAGGGGGACUUACAGUGCAUGGAAUAGAGUUGCUAUUGAGAAGCUCCGACCAUGUUGGAACACGUCCAUCCCUCACAGGAGCUCUAAGAGGCCAGGCACGGCCAAACAUCCUAUUUCUCACAGGAAGAGGUCGCUCAGUCUCUCCCAAUCGCCUAAAGCUAGCAGGUAACCUAUCAUUAUCAGCCGGAACCGACCACGUUGAUGGCCCAUGGUAGCAUGGUUCUAGGAUGUCAUAUAUGUUUAAACCACCUACAUCCUGGGAUCAAUCAAACUCUUGAGUGAUAGGAGAAAUUUUAACAAAAUCAUCCACUAUCCUCAUUUGCAUGUGAUAAAGGGGCAGUUGUCACACGCACCUGAUCAACUUUUGUGAGUUUGCUCUCACAAGUUGAACUGAGUGGCUUAUAGUAAUUCCCCUUGCAUUCCCUCUUAACCUCCUGCGGAAUAGCAUUAUCAAUUUUGCUGCUCGACUAAUUUAAUCACAUGACAGAUGCAUUAGGCAGUUCUUGUCCCUCCCAAUUAGACAGUAGGUUGGUCCGUCAGUAGUCUCCAGGGGACUAGAUUAGGCUUUAGCUCUCCAAACCAACAAUCAUGUGAACAAAUUAACAACAGCACAAGCAUUAAGAAGAAGAUCGAGUAAGCAAAUACUGAGGCACUAGAAGGCUAUCAACAAAAAGCUUCACAAGAAAAGGCUCGAUAUCUAUGCCCAAAGCAGCAGCCAAAAGGGGCUUUACUCUACCUCAAACAAGUCAUCUGAAAUCAGGCCCAUCCCAUGCGCAAAUGGAAUGAGAGCGUUGCCGUCAAAUUCCUCAUCAGUGUCUCCAUUACCAACAAUAUAACCCUGUCAAUUCAAACAUAUUAUUUGACCAAAAAAACUCAAUUCUGUUAGAAGCAUUUGAUCAAAUUUGACAAUCUGGUUGCCUAGAGAAUGUACCUUGAGAUUGAGAAUGGGCUUCACGCCAGUAUCAAUACCUGCCAAAGGAUUUAUAUUUGCAAUUAAAGGUCAAUACUAAAUCAGGUACUAAAAACUGCAAGAAUGCGUACCAUUCGCUACUUCAAUCGCAAGAGUUGGCACAUAGAUCCCUGCAUACGACUCUCCAGCUAUGAAGAAUGGGUUGGGAAGGAACUCCGGGUAGAGCUCAAACCACUGACUCACAAUGCAACAUGUUGUCAAGACAAAUUGAUAUGAGAGAGAGAGAGAAUAUCAUACUUAUGAUAACUUCAACUUUUGUACCUUGAGGAGAAAUGUAUGAGAAUCAAGAGCGGUCUUUAUGUCACCAGUUUUGUAGUCGCUCGAAUUUUUGGAAUAAGAAAAUCCAACACCAGCAGGAGAAUCCAAGUAAAUAAUGUUGGAGACCUAUGAAGUCAAAAUCAGAGGAGGCAAUCUCAUUAAAAGCGUGACAUUCAUAGUUGACAAGAGGAGUAUCAUCUUAUGUUCAGCUGCUUCAGAUUUUUUUUUUUUUCUGUAUUAUCGAAAAUCCUUUGGACAAAUCUACGAUCUUACCAAAAAUAAAUAAAAAUCUACGAUUAGGUUUCAACCUUGGACCAGCUGUAGGGAUUCAAAUGCAGAUGCGGUAGGCUUUGCUGUGUCUUUGCUGCUUCAAAAUUGAAACAUCCUGCGGAACGUCAUGGGGUCAAGUAGAAGUGUACAAAAUGAAGUCUUACAUUCUAAAUUGAGCUUAAGAUGACAAUUUCAUAUAACUACAAUCUCAGGGAAUCUUUCAGCCAAGAUGUCGCUCCAGAGACCUUCGUAAUAAAAACAAAGCUUACGUGUUGCGUUAUGUAGUGAGCACAAAAUUGAAACUGCCUAUCACGACGAGCUGUGCAAAAGACAAGUGGAAACCUGAGAGAGGGUAAUCAGAUGAUCAUCUCUCACACCAGUUAGACAACUUUAUUCCCAUUAGCAACUCAUGAACUUACCAAAACAAUAACCAAAUUCCAGUGACGCUCAUGGUCUAGAAUCCCCAGACAGAACAUGAUUCCACUACGAUCGGCGGUGUGAAAGUUUAAUCUUGACAAAAUGAGUCAACACGAGUGUGGAUAACAAAAAGUCUGUACCAUGCUCAUACACGAAACCAUCAAAGCUCGAGCAUCCCGGUCCUCCAUUUAGCCACAGAACCACCGGAUCCUUCGAUGGGUCCCCUUCCGAUGUCGCAAAAUAGUAGAACAAGCGCUUCUCAUGGUCCGGAUCAAUCGUCACGUACCUUCAUCCAAAACCCGAAUAGGAGACAACAAUUACGAGCAGACCCGAUACAACAGUACAAAACGCCAGAACCAGCGAAUACAGAGUUUUAUCUUCCCCCUCCAUAUCAAUAGUCAAAGACCCUAGGCUUCGAUAAACGACGUAAAGCAGCGACCUUUGAGUGUAAAUCGGAAUAAAGUGGCGUACCCAGAAUAGUGUUCGGAAGGGAAAGAGCCAUUGAACCCAGGAAGCUGAGUUAUCAGAGCGCUCUCGGGAGCACACCGAGUCAACACAAAACAAGAACACAAGAGAACCAGCGCACCACCGUACAAGACAAGACCACUCUUGGCCAUGGAAAUGUCCUGUCCUCGGUCCCAGUGAUGGAUCGAUCCUCAAUGUCCGCAAAAAAACAAGGAUAAUGAUUGAUAUGUAAGAAGAAAGACUAUUUAUAUGGAUAGAUUCCGAGCCAAGAAAAGAGAUACCGUCUGGAGUGUCGUCGCUUUUGUGCUACGAUUUAGAAGACAAGGUGAAACGCUGCAAAAAAUUCAUGGUCUCUCCUUUAAAACUGACACAAACCAACAGGUGCCGUGUCCGCAAUGAUUCUCUUCCCAGUGGCUGAGUGGUUUAAAGAAAACCCGUCUUUUCUUGGAAUGAUCCGGACAUGGGUUUCUUGAUUUUCAUUGGACCCGAAUGAAAAACUCCUGCAAGAAAAUCUUCAUCAGAGAUUAUCAUCGUCAUCAUUAUCAUCACCAUUACAAUUCGUGCGGCUGUGUCAGAGUUUCAGGCUUCCCGGGAUUCCCGGGUCAAAUCCGAUCUGGGGCGUGAGGAAUGUUGGCGAGGGAGUGAAUUAGCAGUUCGGGCAGCGCUGAAGUGGCUUCAACGGCACGAGAUGCACGAAGUGCUUCUGUACUUCCCCCUGAUCUGCCAACGCCCGUAUCAACCCACAGCUUAUCCGCGGUUAAAUGUAUUAUGGGCCGGUCCAAAACGCCAUGGACUUCCAGGUCCAAGAUUGCACUAACCUGCUGGGCCAAUUAGGAGGAAUUAUUAUCCGUUUUGAACAAGAUAUUAUAAUAAAACGGCCAACUGGGUCGCUAGGCCCACCGAGCCAGCUCUCUCUCAAUGGACUGGAUUAUAAAUUCAUCCAAUUCCCUUUGAUUGCUCUUAUGUUCGAAUUGAUCCUUUUGUAAUCCGUCAUUUUCGGUUUAGUAAUGAACAUCAGUUUUUCUGACAGAAAAAAUAAAAAGGGGAGGCCAACGAGGCGGGAGAGAGAGAGACUGAGAUUGAUUCCAUCCAAAGAUAAAGAAAAAGAAAAAGGCUCUUUUCAGAGAGAGAGAGAGAGAGUGUUUGAGCUCUCCUUGCCCAUUUGUUGGCUUGCCAAUCAUGAUGGAGGCGUCAAAUUCCAUUUUUCUCUGUCUGGGUUCGGAUUGCGGGGGCGCGAGCGUGCAGUGGCGGGUUUCUUGGUACAGAGAAACAUUGUGAAAAAGUCGCCUGAUAGGCCGCGACAAUUUCACACCAAAUGAAUGAUUUGAAAAAUGCUAUUACAAAAACGAUUAUUUAUAAUUAUUAUAAAAUGCUAUCUCUACCUAACUGGCCUUUUAUAUCGAUCACACGCGCAUCGCACAGUGGUUUUGGGCUCAGCAAAUGGGCUCGAACUUGUAUUAUCCCAAGUCUGCACAAAUCAAAUCCAUCAAAACCAUUGAUCAAGGGCUCUGAUAGCCAUAAUUUCAUGAUUUCUUUUUACAAUGGAGUGGUUUGUCUAUAAUGGGCGGCACUCGUAUCUUUAGGUGAUCUGAAAUUUAGUCUUUCUAACCCGAUUGAAAGAUGAUUAUAGGCGGAUUGAUUUGCCGAUCAUGACCAUAAUUUCUCUUGCUUUAGGGCUACUAAACAUGUUCAUUGGAAUCUUUCGACUUCACUGGCCCAGUCAAUGAGAACAAAGCAAAGAAACAAACAAUAAAGUAUCUGUAAUUUCAUGUGCAGUUAUGUCGGAAGUUACAUGUCCGUGUACCAAGCAAUGAGAUGAAUGCUCGAGACCGCAAUAAGGAUUUGCAUAUGCCAAUUUAACCGUUUCCUUCCAUUUCGAACGAAUCUUCAUAUUUAGCUCCCUAAAAGCAUUACUAGAACAAUGCAAGCAUAGCGGCGCGCCUCAAUCUAUUCGAGACCGGUUCUGUUCAGUGUGCUUUCGCAGGGAACAACAGUCGAGAAUUUUGAUGUUGGAAAUUGAAAUGCACGUUCGUUGUUGCUCUGUAUGAACAAUUCAUGUUCUAUCGACAUCUUUAUAUCUAUCGAAUUAUCAAAGUCCUCGAUAUUCCAUAUCAGAGCGGAAGGAGAAAAGCACAAGAUGGAAGAAAGUAUUUCUCUGAAUUUCUCUCCUCCACUCUCUAUUCUGCAGUUACGGGCAUUGAACAGCACGCUAUUCUCCUAUCAUAUCCGCUUUCCUGCCAGAAAACGGCUGUAGAAAUCCAGUGCCUCUUGAGGUUUGUAUUCUGGGACCGUGUGUCCAGCUCCCUGCACCAAUGAAAACCAGAAGAAAUACUAGUAAGUCGAAUAUCGUGACAGCUUAUUAACAUACUGAAGGAGAAUGCAUAUGCAAAGCACAUUUCUUGCAGACCUUGAUGGUUAAGAAGGUGAGGUUGUUUUCAUAUCCCUGAAGGUACCUGCAGCCAAAUGAAGUAUUAAUAUCGCAACCCUGAGUUCACAACAUUGACUCAAAAAUCUAAGGUAAGUAAAUUCUUCAGACUGUGUAGGGUCAUGCCAAAAUACCCGGCAAUUUGAUUAUUGGAAUUCCAAGGCCGCCACUCAUCCACAAUUUUAUACCCCACAGACCUUGUCCAUGCUUGGCUACCGGUGUAGGGAACGCACAUAUCAUGAUCACCACUGCCACAAGCAAAACAGUUGCAAAUCCCAUCAGUAGCUAAAGAAGAAAAACUCUGUCACAUUCGUGUGAUUAAUAAUGUCAAAUUGGCCAAAAGUUCGCUGAUACAUCUGCAGGUGCAUGUCAAAAUAUCUCCAUGGUGUAAAGGAGAAAACAGGACCAGGAAUCAUAGAUAAAUUCACAUGCAUAAAGAAAUCAGUCUAAAAGCAGUUUAGAGUAGUUUUCUUAUUAUUUCCACAGAUACUUGGUGUCUCGGUAAUCGUAAAAAAAUUCGCAAAAAGCAUCCAGAUGGAGCUUACAGAACCAUAGUAGUUUCCUAUACCAGGGACCCUGAUAAUCUCCUGAACGGUGCUGUCAAUUUAUUUCACACAGUUGAAGUUAAAUUGCAAGAAAGGCAUUUACUAUAGCAGAAUUGCUCUUUACGUUCCUCUGUCACAGGCGAACGAAUCGACCUUGAAUUUUUGAAUUUGAUGUUGAGACAUUUUCUACUAUGCCUUACUAUCAGUGUGAAUUUCCAAUGCUUGCUUUGGCUCAGACCUAGCAUUAUACCUUCAGGACCUAGCAUUCUUUUAUCUUUAUUCAUUGGUGUGUCCAUCUUUCAUCAAACACAGGCACAAGAAUAUAGUGGCCCGCCAGGAAAUCUUUAGACAUCAGCAUUCCAUUUGGGUGUAGAAAAGUAUGACACGAGUACAAGGGAAAGCAACGACUCCAAAGUUGAUAGGGAGGGAGAUAUAUUAACAGCAUAAAAAGGUCGAGUUGAGUCAUCUUGCCAGAGUAAUAGACAUCUCUCUCGCCUCAAUAUAUUUCAACCAUAUUUGCACUGUCUGACGGUAAAAGUCUGACGAGUUUUUGCAAGAUGACUAUUCGAGUAAAAAAGCUUGUAGGCAUGCAUCUUUUAAUAAGCUAAUAAAGCACCGAUACUAAACUGCAUUGAGUUGGCUUUCUACCUGAAUAUGAGUGCUCGAUACCCCCUAGAAGUGAGGUUUUUGUGGUACUUAAUCAUGCUUCCAGCAUCAUGAUAAAACGAG